GGUUCUGGUGAUUAUGGCGGUUUGAACCGCCAUUUUCACACGCAUAUAAAAUGAAAAAAAUUGUAAUCCUGGCUCAUUCAACGCCGUUCUUCGUUCUAUCUAGGGCUUCUCCUCUCUGCUCUCUGGUUACGAUCUGGUUACACCAACAAACAACGUAAAGGUACCUCUCCAACAACGCCGUUCUUCCUUCUAGGGCUUCUCCUCUCUCCGCCGGUUACAAUCUCUCCAGCUCUGUUAGGGAUUUUUGGGUCUUCCUUGAAGCAUUGGAUUAACGUUGGUGCGGGGGUGAUUGACGACGAUCUCAGGUCUUAAAACCUUGAAGAGGCUAAGUCUGGCAUUUAACAGGAUCACAGAUGCCUGUUUAGUACAUCUGAAAGGUUUAGUAAAUUUGGAUUCCUGCAAAAUAGGCGAUGAAGGGCUUGCCAAUUUGACAGGCCUCACUCUCUUGAGAAGUCUAGUGUUGUCAGACACUGAAAUUGGUUCCAGCGGGCUGCGUCAUAUAUCAGGGUGCUAUUGAUUUGACUGCAAGAAGUUCUGUAACUAAGUUUGCUAUUUUUCAGUUGCCAGCUGUUAGUAAAAAAUAUUUGACAACAUGUACUUUAUCAUACAGUCAUUAAUUUGUUUUUCUUUUUUCUUUUUUUUUAUUUGAAAAAACAUGAUGUCAUUUGAGUUUUGUUUUGUUUGCCUACUAAAUUAAUUAGCUUUUAAAUUCACUAUCUU